AUUGAACGCUGGCGGCAUGCCUAACACAUGCAAGUCGAGCGGAUGAAGGGAGCUUGCUCCUGGAUUCAGCGGCGGACGGGUGAGUAAUGCCUAGGAAUCUGCCUGCUAGUGGGGGAUAACGUCCGGAAACGGGCGCUAAUACCGCAUACGUCCUGAGGGAGCAAGUGGGGGAUCGUCGGACCUCACGCUAUCAGAUGAGCCUAGGUCGGAUUAGCGAGUUGGUGGGGUAAAGGCCUACCAAGGCGACGAUCCGUAACUGGUCUGCGAGGAUGAUCAGUCACGCUGGAACUGAGAAUCGGUCCAGCCUCCUACGGGAGGCAGCAGAGGCGAAUAUUGGACGCAGGGCGGAAGCCUGAUCCAGCCAUGGCGCGUGUGUGAAGAAGGUCUGCGGAGUGUAAAGCACUUUAAGUUGGGAGGAAGGGCAGUAAGUUAAGACCAUGCUGUUUUGACGUUACCAACAGAAUAAGCACCGGCUAACUUGGU
rnacentral:rRNA from 1 species